CAGCCGUAAACAAUGUGCGUUAGGUGUGUCGGUAACCACGUGUUACUGAUGCGCCGAAGAGAAAUCGUGAAACGCACCACCUGGGAAGUACGGUCGCAAGGCUGAAACUUAAAGGAAUUGGCGGGGGGAGCACCACAACAGGUGGAGCCUGCGGUUUAAUUGGAUUCAACGCCGGACAUCUCACCGGAUAAGACAGCUGAAUGAUUGUCAAUCUGAAGGUUUUACAUGACUAGCUGAGAGGAGGUGCAUGGCGUCAGUGACU
rnacentral:rRNA from 1 species